GAGUUUUAACUGUAACUCAUAAAAAUACUGAAGCAACAAAUAUGAAAAUAUUCUCAAACAACAAAAAUAGAAUCACAAAUAAAAUAAAAAAGAUUCCAUAAAAUCAGUAGCUAAUAAUUGACCAACAGACUUAGUCAACCAGCAUUUUCUUCUUCAAUCCGUGAGUGUAUCUCUUGUAGACCAACUGCUGCUGGUUGCUAUCACAUUCCUCCUCCCAUGCCUCGCUCCCUGUUCUUCUGGUUAUUCCGGCAGAGUAAAUAUCGGCCUCGUCGUUCUCUAUCAGCUCUCUCACCCUCCUUCCGUGAACUCGGGCCUCCGGUUCUUCCUCUCCCCCACUUCUUUGCCCCCUUUCUCUGGUUUCUCUACUGACGGUUUGAGGGUGAUUGAAGGUAGGUUGAGGUUCAUUGGUCCGGGGUUCUUC
rnacentral:lncRNA from 1 species